CACGUAGGGGGCAAGCGUUGUCCGGAAUUAUUGGGCGUAAAGGGCUCGUAGGCGGUUUGUCGCGUCGGGAGUGAAAUCCACUGGCUUAACUGGUGGCUUGCUUUCGAUACGGGCAGACUGGAGGUAUGCAGGGGAGAACGGAAUUCCUGGUGUAGCGGUGAAAUGCGCAGAUAUCAGGAGGAACACCGGUGGCGAAGGCGGUUCUCUGGGCAUGUCCUGACGCUGAGGAGCGCAAGUGUGGGGAGCGAACAGG
rnacentral:rRNA from 1 species